UUGCGCCCGCGAGCACUUCCAGCUCGCCCCGAGCCGGGCAAGGACGUCGCCGGCCGGCUUCGGGGCGCGCGCGCCGGGGCAAAGGAGAGAGGCUGCGCCGGCGUGGAGAGGACGGCGAAGGGCUGCGUGGGGGAUCUGUGGGACGUGCCGGCCGCCGCCGCCGCCGCGGGGACGUGACUCCGCGCCGCCGCUCUGCCGCCGGGACAUGACCAGACUGCCAAGCGCGGGGAGGAAGCCGCACGGCAUCUCGUGCACCCCGGGGCUCUCGUCCUGUUUAUAGCCUCUCCCAGCCGGGUGCUUUGGGUGCCCCGGUGCCCCCCUCCAUCCCUCCCCCCCUCCCCGAGCCGGGAGCCCCACGGAGCGCCGGGAAAGCCCUGCUGCCGGCACCGGCGCUGCGGGGGGGAUUCCCUCUCUCCCGGAGCGGAGGCUUCCCCGUGUCGCGGCUCAUUUGGGGUUGCUCUUCGAGCGCCUCCGGGGUGUUUUUAUUAACGCUAACGGUGGGGAUGGCUGAGGAAUGGGGCCCGGCGCAGGCAAAGCCUCCCGGCGCUGCCCAGCCCCGCGGCUGAGGCCUGGCACGCUCAUGUCAUGCGCGGCGGCCGGGCGCUGCCGGGGCCCUGCGUCACGCGCAGGGGCCACUCCAGACCGGGAAGCGGCUCAGAGCUGAGCACUGGGCAACUCAUCACACCUCCGGCAGGGCCAGGACCCCCCCCCACCAGACCCCCGCCCGGCCGCAGCUGCCCGUGUCAGCGCUGAUUGAAAGCCCUGCCUGGCUGGCGAGCUCGUUAAUUAAGAAAUACAUUUGAUUAGCAGCACCCCA